CUUCAUUCUAAAUAGGCAGAAACUGAGGCUUAGAGAUGGGAGGUGACUUGUCCCAGACCCCAGAGCAUGACCAGGGCUAAAACCCACAUCUUCUGAUUCCACACCCAUGUUCUAUCAUGUGGAUUUCUAGUCCUAGAACUCGAGUUUCCAUUUUGUAAAUAGGAACGUCAUUAAGAAUGAAAAUAAAAAUCUCUGAAAAUAAGAAUACUUAGACUCUAUGCCCAGCUGAGUGACCCUAAGCUGUCAUUUGAUUUCUCUGUAGAGUUCUCUUCAAGACAGUAAAAUCAGGGCUUAGUACUUUGAAGGACAAGGAAAUCUCUCUACUGCAAAUUAUACGAGCAAAGCGUCCCAUAUGAGGAUACUCAGUGUAAAAUCCCACCCCAUGCCUAGCCUCACUACCCCUACAAGGAUUGUCUCCUAAGCUUUCCCUGGAACCUCAGUGCUUGAUAUAGAUUUCAAUCAGAUUUCAUCUGCUAAUCUGCCUGGUGAGCUGAGCUGAGCAUCUGAGAGUACAGCCCAUUUCAGAGAAUAGGUACCAACUUCCUGGGCAAUUUCUUAGCCAGAGUUCCAAAGCUGUCUGUGAAGUGGGAACAAAGAGGCUCCUGGCUCCCAGGUUACUCCCACCUCAAAGGCCCCAGCCUCAGAUGCCCCAAAUACAAACCAAACAAGCAGAGUACACUGCACACCUCUCACCCCACCAAAACUGUGUAGUGUCUUCAAAGACAUGGUAAGAAGCUGUGAUCUACAGUCACCAGGCCCAAACCAGCUCACAAAGGAAUUUCUAGAAGACUGCUCCACAACCAGAGGAAGCCUCUAUAGACUGGCAGAAACAAGGCCUGGAGAGAAAGACCUCAGAAUGGAGUAUGCUAGUUUUAAGAAUUUAAUCUUCAGAGUACCUGGGUAGCUCAGUUGGUUAAGUAUCUGCCUUUGGCUCAGGUCAUGAUCCCAGGGCCCUGGGUUCCUGCUCAGCAGGGAGCCUGCUUCCCUCUCCCGCUUCCCCUUCUUGUGCUCUCUC